rnacentral:lncRNA from 1 species
AUAAGAGUAUUCGUUUCAGUAAAACAUCCAAAGUGUCGCCUCGCCAAAUUACGUACAUUUUCAUUUAUUUCCAAAAAAUCAAUGAAAUAGAAGGAAAUAAUGGCUAAGAAUGUUCGAAUUAAAUGAUUGCCCCAAUAAUUUCUACCUGACGUGGAAUCUGCGGAAUAUUGGUACUACCUACUCUGCGCACGACUAGUAAAUCGCAACUAAGAGAAAAUGUUGUUUCUCCAACGAUGAGUUAGAAGCAAAUGAACAGACGAAUAAACGAUUUGGAGGCCAUGAUUUUAAUUCACCCAGAAAAGCCUUAGAUACCCGAAAAUGUCUAAUUCACACACACUCAUGGGAUUAUAAUACUUAUAAUGUUUUUUCAAAACUGAAAUAUAUGAUGUACCACAUACACGGAACUGCGAAGUGGAGCAAAUGCAUUGACAAAUUUUCAGACGUUGACUUUCUUGGAGAUAAUUCUACCGACUCAUAUGAAGCCAUACAAUAUUGGAGAGAAUUAUGAAACUUAAAGGUAAUACAAUUUUGCUGAGCAAGAAUCCAAUUUUAAUAACGCGGCGGGCUUCAACAUAUUUAUAUUGCAAAGAAACACAUAACUAGUUUGGACAUUGGUAUCUUUUCUGAAGGGAAAGUGCAUCUAGUUGGAUGCGUUAAACAGGUUGUCAAACCCGUUCCCAUUUGCUACGAGGAGAGACAAACUUCUUUGAAAAAACAUUAUGCAAUUACCAAAAAGCUUCAGUGGCUGUUAUUAAAAUUCUUCAACUAUCGACAUUGCACAUAAUUGAUGCAACUUUUCAACUAGGUAUAUUCUGAUAGGUACCUAUUUCCUUUAAUUUGUGUACUUAUUUUACCUAUUUUUCCCCCCACCACCCAUCAGAAAGUGAUUAUUUAGUUUAUUUAACCAAA